rnacentral:rRNA from 1 species
UAUUUGGCCGUACCACCCUGAAUGUGCCUGACCUCAUCUGAUCUCAGAAGCUAAAGCAGUUUGGGCCUGGUUAUUAGUACUUGAAUGGGAGGAAACCAUGUGGCUAUAGUGU